CAAAGACACAGAAGAGGAGAGCAGUCUGCUGGAGAGGAUGCAUUCACUUAAAACGCGGUUCCGAAAGACACCGUCUCCAAGUUCAAAACCGUGUCUGCAUCCAGACAGACACUUCUGCUGUUAUACUUUCCAGGGGGAUCUCUGAGGAUUGGCUCAGGUCCUGGGGAACAGCACAAGAGUAUCUGCAUUUGUCCCAUCUGGCAAGGCUCAGAAGUGUACCGUUCCCUGACAGCUUGCUGGAAGACCACCAGCAACUCACCAGAGCUGGAUUACAGCCUGAGGUCUCUUCACAAGGCUUGGGCACCUUGAGUGACCCUGAGUACAGCUUCAACAUCUAUCAAAUGACAACGGCAACUUAUGUUCCCAAGCUGGAUGCCGAAGUGUCAUAUGGCACCAUGCUGGAGGUACUGGGGCACCGUGGAUUACAUCAUUUUUACAUUUCCAAGAGAAACACAAGAUCUACAACUUCUGUCCAAUAGCACACAAACUACUAGCUGGAGAUAGUUCAUGGUUACAAUAUUAGUGACCAUUGUCAUCUUUUGGUGGUGUCAUAUCUUACCAAAGCUGGGUUUACAGCAACUGCCAUGAUAAAAAAGCAAAUUGUCCACAACAAUCAAUGUGAAACAGGAGAAACAGUGAUCUAUCCAGAAGCUAUUCAGCAGGAAAUUGAGGCUACUAAUUGAAACAAAGGUAUCUUUUUUUCUUGCAAUUUUGCAUUUUAUUUUCAAAUAGCUACAAAGUUGUCUGGAUUUAAGUUGUUGGAUAUAACUACUUAAUAGAUAAAAUCAUUGGUAACACCUUCCCGCCUUAAACACAUUAAAAUCACUGUGAACCAAGAAAGUUAGGGAACCUCUGGCUUGGAACACAUUGGUUCUUGUGAGGCAAUACAUCUAACAUUUCUCAUUGGGCCCAGACUGUAGCUCAGUGGUACACCUCUUGCCUAGCAUGGCAAGCCCUGGGUUCUAUCCCAAGUACGGCACCAAUUUUUUUUUCUUUUUCUUCAUAAAGUGUCUGAUUUUCUAAAUAACUUCCAUAAAAAUAUAAAUUUCCAAAGUUCUGAAAUUUUAGAAAUCUCAACAAUCUGGAACCUCAGCUGUCCAUCAGUCUUCAUCUUUUGAGAGAAAGAGCUGAAAUUUCAGAAGACCCCUAGGCGACCCACAGAGGAAGUGACAGAAAUCAAGUGAGUUGGCAACACCCGCCAUUGGUACAGCCCAUGAACGUCCUCACCACCUCUCUCUGAAGCUUCACCCCACUUUAUGGAGAAGGAAACCAAGGUCCUAAGAGGGUACAUGAGUGUUUGGGCUCAGCUCAUGACAGAGCAGAAGUCAAACCAGUCUCCUGAGCCCUUUUCUACCAACUCUUUCCCAAGACGUUCUCACAGGAAACCAUCAAUAACACAGCGGAAGUUACUC
rnacentral:lncRNA from 1 species